rnacentral:rRNA from 1 species
AGUGAACGCUGGCGGUAGGCCUAACACAUGCAAGUCGAACGGCAGCACAGUAAGAGCUUGCUCUUACGGGUGGCGAGUGGCGGACGGGUGAGGAAUACAUCGGAAUCUACUUUUUCGUGGGGGAUAACGUAGGGAAACUUACGCUAAUACUGCAUACGACCUACGGGUGAAAGCAGGGGAUCUUCGGACCUUGCGUGAUUGAAUGAGCCGAUGUCGGAUUAGCUAGUUGGCGGGGUAAAGGCCCACCAAGGCGACGAUCCGUAGAUGGUCUGAGAGGAUGAACGGCCCCACUGGAACUUAGACACGGUCCCGACUCCUACGAGAAACCGCAGUAGGGGAUAUUGGACAAUGGGCGCAAGCCUGAUCCAGCCAUACCGCGUGGGUGAAGAAGGCCUUCGGGUUGUACAGCCCUUUUGUUGGGAAAGAAAAGCAUCAGGUUAAUACCCCGCUGUUCUGACGGUACCCAAAGAAUAAGCACCGGCUAACUUCGUG